UCUUCAUCCCCUGAGCCCCCCCCCCCUUUCCCAUACGUCGCCCGGUGCCUUUAGAGCCGGACGGAGAUCGGGCUGGGCAAGCGGGAGGGCUCCUGGCCGCCCCUCCUGCGCGCGGGCAGAACCUCCUGGGUUGGCAGCAAUUGUUCCUCAGCGAAAUCCCCUCAGCACAACGCAGCAGCGCGGGAACCAGCAGCCCCGCGCGCCCCGCGCUACGGGAGGCAAGUCGUAGGGGAGAGGAGGAGGAGGCGGCAACGGCGGCGGCAGUGCCCCGCUCUUGCCAGGAGGCGACCGGAGGAUGGGAGCAAGGAGCCGCGCCGAGCCAAAGGGUGGCAGCAGCCCCAGCAAGCCGGGUGCUGCCUUGGCCGCCGCUUGAUUCCUUCGGCGGGGAGAGGGAGGAAGAGGUGGCGGCGGCAACGGCAGCUUCUCGCUCUCUGGCUUCAGCGUCGGAGCUGCCGCCGCCCUGAGAGUGAGGAGGAGCCAAGCAGCGGCUGGCAUGGAGCGGAAGAGCCCCGCUACCGCAGGGAAGCAGAACCCGGGCAGCCGGGGAGCCGGGGACGGGCACUGCGCCCAGGGCAGCGGCGGGCCAGCGGCGGGCGUUCAGCAUCGGGGCAGCGGCUGCGGCCAACUCUCGGUUGCAGCCGCCGCUGCUUCUCCGGCUGCGGAGCCCGAGCAGCUGAUCCGAAGAGCGCUGGAUUUCAAAAGCCAAGGAGCCCAGUGCUACAAGGAGAAGAAGUGCCGGGAAGCCAUCGGCAAGUACCACAGGGCGCUGCUCGAGCUGAAGGGGCUGUUGCUGGCCCAGGAAGACGCGGAGGACGCCGCCUCGACCGCCUCCUCCGCGGGGGCUGCCGGCCUGGGCAAACUCUCGGAUGAGCAGAGGCAGCUGCUGGACAGCAUCGAAAUCGACUGUUACAACAGCCUGGCAGCCUGCCUACUUCAAGCUGAGCUGGUGAACUAUGAGCGGGUCAAAGAAUAUUGCCUGAAAGUACUGAAGAAAGAAGGGGAGAACUUCAAGGCACUCUACCGGUCAGGAGUAGCAUUCUAUCACCUUGGAGACUACAACAAGGCCCUUUACUACUUGAAAGAAGCAAGGUCUCGGCAGCCAACAGAUACUAAUGUUGUACGGUACAUCCAGCUGACAGAAAUGAAGCUUAGCAGAUGUUCCCAGAGGGAAAAAGAAACAUUGUUGCACAGAGAUCAGGCUAUAAUCUCCCAAAUCAAGACAUUCAUCUGUUUAUCCACUACAGAUGUUUCUUUUUCUGCCAAAGCUUUCAAUAAAGAGAGAAAUCUGGAGAAAUGCCUGAAUCUAACAUCUAGAUUGGGGGGGGGAGGUAUUUGUCAGUGCCAUCAUACACAUGUCGUGACUUAUGUACUUGCAAGCAGAGAUUAAGAUGUAAGUAUAACCUUAGCAGCAUGAUGGCUUCAUUGUAAUUUGCUUAGAAUAACUAAUGUUUGUUUGUAGGUGGUACACUUUUGGACUCAUGUACAUAAAAUACAAGUUUGUUAUUGUUGUACAACUGAUAAUACUCUUCAUAGGAUCCUUACUCAAAACAAGAUUGUUGCUGGACUACACUUUUUUACUCUUUCAUUCAUAAUUAAGUACUAUGAAGACUACUGUAUAAGAUUUAUUUUCAGUAUAGAACUUUGUACCCUUGCUGUUUUGGUAAUUUCAGUUGCUAGCUCUUACAACUAUAAAGAAUACUGCAGUUUUGAGUGUGAACACCACUAGGUGAAUGUCAAUAGAACGAAUGACCAUUUCAUCAAAAUUUUACACUGUACUAACUGUUCCUUGAUAGUGCUUUCUUGGCAGGGAUAUCACAGUUCUAACUUUCCGGUGGAAAGUUCAUUCAACAAGCUUCUAAAUCUAGUUCCUGUUUUGUUUUGGGGGUAGGGUUUUUUUGGGGGGGGGCUUUAAAAACAGAAUGGUAACUUUAAAAUUUGUUUUAUUCAUGCUGUUUAAUUGCACUGAUUUCUUUUUCUAUUGUAAGACACUCCAGAUGCUCUGCUGCAUUCGGCAUUUCUUGACAAGUCAGCUCUGGAGCUCUUACAGCUUCUGCUUGGAAAAUAACCACUGCCCCUCCCUUCCCUUCUGCACAAGCACUUGCUUGACAAGGGGGAUUUUAGCAGAGCAAUAUAGUUGUGCAAAAUAGCCUGACCUCCACAAUAUAAACUCAGACCAUAUGUGUGCCAGCAUGGUUUCUCUGUCGCCAACAGUGAAGUCUUGCUGGCUUUCAGUUCUAAGGUUCAACAUCUUACAAGAACAUGCCAGGAGGAGAGGAGAGGAGAGGAGGGGACAGAGAAUGAAAAAGAGCAAUGGCAUCUCUCCUACCUAUCCAUAUUGUCUUGCAGUUCUUCAAGCCUUCAGUCUAGAGAUAUAUAUAACUGAGCUGCCCUGUCAAAUUAUUUUGUCUUGUGUUUUAUCAGGUAAUGAAAUAAGGCUAGUUCAUUCCAGCCAUAUCUUUAGUGAGCAACUGACAGUCAGCCACAUAUGCAUGUACUAAGCAUACAGUCUCAUCAUUAGCUGUCAACCAUUUAAUCAAAGAUGAAACUAUGUUUGGAAAGAAGAAAGCGUAGAAGAUUGAUGUGGUAAUAACAGGAGAUAAUACAACAGAAGACCAAAAACUGGAGAAGAUCACUUGCUAUCAAGAUCUGAAAAUUGAAAUUGAAACAUUGUGGCAUAAACUGGCAGUAGUUGUCCCAGUAAUUAUUGGCACACUGGGUACCAUACUUAAAAAUCUUGGACAGCAGUUAGAAAAUCUGUGCAUUGACAAAAUUUCCAUCUGUCAAUGUCAAAAGGCCACAUUGUUUGGAUCCGCACAUAAAGCAUGCCAAUAUAUUACAACAUGCUACUGGCCUUGAGAAGAACUUGAUGCAUAUGGAGGCUAACACAAGCUAAAGAAUUGAUAGCUGUGAUUUCACAUGUUUUGUGUAUAUAAUAACACCAAUUUUGAUUGGGAGCAGUGCAGAGUUGGUUGUAAGAUAGAUACUGUAGCUAUAUGAAUGAUUUAAAUAAAUAAAAUCUCAAUAAAUAAAUAAAUACACACACCCCUUUCAUGAAGCAUUUCCUUUACUGUGGGUAGUGGAUUUACUGUCCUGGAUAACUUGGAACUUGCAGGCAAUUGCAGGCAGAAGUCCUGAAGAAAUAUGAGCCUCAAGAAGUAUGAGUGUUACUGCCAAAGGGUUUUGGUGAGAGAACUGAUUCAAGUGAAAUUAACACUUCCAGAAUUCUACAAUGAUGGUUUUAUUUUGCGGACAGGAAAUCAUUGGAGUAAAUCAAGUAAAUCUCUCUCUUUCUGUAAUUGUCACUGGCGGAUAAACUACCUGCCUGUAAAAGCAGGGAUCAAUUUAAUUGUGAUUCACUGCAUUGAGAGGCAAAUCUUUCUAUAUCACGUUGCAAAAGAAGAGUCAUGGUUACAUUUCUAUUCCAGGAACACAAUCUUAACAUUCUCCCCUUUUAUUUUUCUUCCACUACUUUUAUUAUAGUGUUUAUAUGGUAAAAAACAAACACUACCAAGAAGGAAGAAAGAAAAACAUUAAUAGCUAGACAUACUGUAAAACAGUCAAAUACACUGUAGAAAUUUAAAUAAUGAAAUGUAAUAAAAAGGAAAAAAACUAUAAUAAAAAGAUCCAUAUUACAAGCAUUUGUAUCAAAUUAGAAUUCAGUCCUUGAAACUACAAUGAAAUCUGUAUCAUAUAGAAACAUCCUCUUCAUCUUCUCAUUUUUAAAAGAAAAGACAGAACCUUAUUUUGAAUCAAUUCUUUGAUAUCAAGAGGGUAAGUUUCUUCACAUUUCUGUAAGAUUAUUCUUUUUUCUGAAAACCAGGCUCAGUCAUGACAAAGAUCUUCAUAAAAUGACCAGUAACCACAUUAAGAAUAUAAUUUAACACCUUAUUUAUAUCUUCAAAUAUUAUAUUUCUUUCCAAAAUCAUAUGCUCUGAUUUGAAACGGAAAGAGAGCUAUGAUUGGACAAGAUGAAAUUAUCUAAGUGAAAGAACCCUCAAAUCUACAAUGCCAGCACACACAUACAUAUACAAAUCUGAAAUCCAGACUUUAAAAAAAAAUUAAGAGUGGUUCACUAGAUCCAAUAUACUUUAUCAUGAAUUAACCUCACUCACAAAGAAUAAUAGGUCAAUUUUACGUUUUAAAAAAUCUUGACCAAUUGAUCUUCCAAGAUGAAAAUUUCCAAAUAUUUGUUCUCCAGGUUUCUGAAUUUCUCAAGUUCUCAUUCCAUGAGAAUGUAGAUUUUAAAAUAAAAGCCCAACAGUAAAGUUGAAAAUCUAGUAGGCUAAAGCCAGCAUCUUAAGGCAAUUAUGUUCAAAUUGGCAAAAAUAUUUGAAAGAUUUUAUACUGCCAUAAUUGGUUCUCAUUAGUUAAUCUGUGUAAAAUAUCUACUAGGAAUUAAUAUUUGAAUUUCUCUUAAAAUAUUCAUUAGACAUAAAGCAAUAUUCAUUUUAAUUACAUUGAUCUUAUUCCAGAGACUCAAUGGAAGUGUUAACAAUUGGAUUACAUCUACUGAAAUGUAUAUCCAAUCUAAACAUUUAGAUAUAUUUAAUUUAUAUUGCCCUUACCUUGGCUUCCUCUAAAAACCUGGUUUCCAACUGCUACUCAAUAGUAGUAACUGUGAGAGGGAUCUUGGAGUCUUAGUGGACAUCACUUAAAUAUAAGCCAGCAGUGCUGCAGCUGUCCAAAAAGCCAACAAAGUGCUAGGCUGC